rnacentral:lncRNA from 1 species
GGAGGUGGCGGAGGGUGCAGUGGACUCUGUGAAGGACCUUAGCUUUGGGGAUUUAAUACUCUAUUUUUGUGAUGGUUGGCCUUCUGCCAAGAGGUGGCAUUUUCCAGAAAGCAUCAGCUGUACUAGUGUGGCAAGGGACCAGUGGUGGGCAGGGGCCCUAGAACAAACUGAAGGGUUGGUCUCACUCCCACCAUGCCCCACCACGAACAGCCCUGAGUCUGUUUCCGGGUGGAGGGCAAGUCGGACUUGAAAACUUGCCCCAGGCUUUCCACCUCCCAGCUGCCAAAGAAAAGGGCUUUAGUUCUUCCCCCGUCUGUGAAGUCUGCAAGCCGGAUUCACGCCCUUCCCCGAGUUCUGGCCAGGAGGCUUCUUGCCCCGUGCAAAUUGUAACAAAGUUCAGCUAGAGAAGUCCUCCUUCCUAUGGAGUUUUAUCUCCUGCUCCUCUGCCACCCUCCUGAUGGAUCCCUGUGGUACCAGGCAGGAAUGGGCUGCUUGGGUAUCCAGCGAGCUCCCAGCGCCUUUCUGCUGCUUCCUCUACCCUUGUAUUUUGCUUGGCUCAGCUCUCUAACUUGACUCACCUCCAGGAAUCUCACAUCUUCUGCCAGCAUCCUGAAACUAUGGCAGACUCACUUGUUAACUUUGCAAAUAAGGUCAAAUUUCAGAACCUUCACAGCUCCUGAUAGUCACCGUGUAAUAGAAGAUUAAAAGACAAGCUCAGCUCUUGUUCCAGUCAGCCUCAUUCCUCUGCCUACAAUACAAAAGUCACUCAAUCAUAUUCUUGUCUUAAAUUGAACAGUCCUUACAUGGUUAAGAAAAGGAGAAAUUCAUUGUAAGGAAUGUUUACAUUUUGUUUAUAAUUCCUGCAAGUGUAAUGUUUCAAAAGGUUUUCCUGUGGCUGAAGUACAUUUACCCUGUGUAGCUCUAGAGAAAUGAACUUACAAACUGAAAAAUUUCAGCUCAGUAUAUAAAGAAAAACAGAUUUUCACAAUUAGAUCUAUCCCAAAGAGAAUAAAUUUUGAGGUGAUAAGCUCACUGCUGGCUUAGAUCAUCACUUAUGGGACCUCUAAUGGGGCAGGGAUCAGACUAGAUGUGUACAAAGAUCUCUUCCAACUGAAGCUGCUACUGUGGAGGACGUUGUUUUCAGUGGACUCUCUAAUCAGAUUUAUUUUCAUACCAAGAAAUGAAGAAGGUGAGCUGGGGGAUGCAGCUGGGACUCAGAAGACUGCACGUGAUAGACUCAUGAGCUGAAGAUCUCGUGCUUAGUCUGGAGAAGCUCAUCAAGUCUAGCUCACUUUGGAGUAAGUUGGUGCUGGAGAAUGAAUUCAUGCUAACCAAAUUCACCAAGAGCCUGAUUUACAAAUGAGAGAGCCAAGGCCUUAAGUUUAGAGCAAAAGACAAACUUCCAAUGACUUUAGUUUUCUUGUCCAAUAUCUAGGGCACCUUCCCCUCUCCACCUGCUGUGUACACAGGAGAAAUAAUCACUCCACACCCGACUGAACAUUUUCUAACCUUAUCACUGUGGCAGAAACUGGCUACUCUUCCUCCUGGGUAGACAGCCAGGCUGUAUUUCCCCGCUGCCCCUGCAGUGAGAGGUAGCCAUUGGAGCCGGCGCAGGCCAAUGGACUCUGCACUGGAGUGACACAUGCUGCUUCCAGGCCUGUCCCUCAAACCUCCCACAUGUCCUCUGUCUGCUCUUCUCACUUCCAAGGAGUGUGACCAUCGUGGAAGCCCCAGGUUAGCAAUGGCAGAUUGGGAGGCAUCGAUGGGAGGAACCUGGGUCCCUGACUUAAAGCAUCAUGGAUUUGGACUUUCCGUUAUUGAGAAAUAAACUUCCAUUGUGUUUAAGCCUU